CAAUUCCUUCCCAGGAGGGAGCCACUGUUUCCACAGAGGGUUCCUGCCAGGGGCGUUGGCACCGGGCGCCGCCUAGGCGGCCGGAGCCCAAAUGCAGCGGCGGACGCGCAGGCGGCCCCUAGCGUAGUAGAAAACAAACUUUUUUGUUCUCGCUCAGGAGGCUCGCAGCGGCGGACUACAGCCCUACGCAAAGCUUUUUGCAACCAAA
rnacentral:misc_RNA from 1 species